rnacentral:rRNA from 1 species
CAGCCGCCGCGGGAAAACGUAGGUGGCAAGCGUUGUCCGGAAUUAUUGGGCGUAAAGGGCUCGCAGGCGGUUUCUUAAGUCUGAUGUGAAAGCCCCCGGCUCAACCGGGGAGGGUCAUUGGAAACUGGGAAACUUGAGUGCAGAAGAGGAGAGUGGAAUUCCACGUGUAGCGGUGAAACGCGUAGAGAUGUGGAGGAACACCAGUGGCGAAGGCGACUCUCUGGUCUGUAACUGACGCUGAGGAGCGAAAGCGUGGGGAGCGAACAGGAUUAGAUCCCCCGUAGUCCCUGUCUCUUAUACA